rnacentral:rRNA from 1 species
GUGGCGCACGGGUGAGUAACGCGUGGGUAACCUGCCCUCAAAUCUGGAAUAACUUCGCGAAAGCGUUGCUAAUACCGGAUAUCGUCCUUAAAGCUUCGGCCUUUUGGAUGAAAGAUGACCUCUUCAUGAAAGUUGUCGUUUGGGGAGGGGCUCGCGUACCAUUAGCUUGUUGGUGGGGUAAUGGCCUACCAAGGCGACGAUGGUUAGCUGGUCUGAGAGGAUGAUCAGCCACUGGAACUGGAACACGGUCCAGACUCCUACGGGAGGCAGCAGUGAGGAAUUUUGCGCAAUGGGGGAAACCCUGACGCAGCAACGCCGCGUGAGUGAAGAAGGCUUUCGGGUCGUAAAGCUCAGUCAAGUGGGAAAAAAGUUCCACGGUAAAUAACCGCGGGAUCUGAUGGUACCACUGGAGGAAGCACCGGCUAACUCCGUGCCAGCAGCCGCGGUAAUACGGAGGGUGCAAGCGUUGAUCGGAAUUACUGGGCGUAAAGAGCGUGUAGGCGGUAUGGUAAGUCAGAUGUGAAAGCCCUGGGCUUAACCCAGGAAGUGCAUUUGAUACUGCCAUUCUUGAGUAUGGGAGAGGAGAGUGGAAUUCCCAGUGUAGAGGUGAAAUUCGUAGAUAUUGGGAGGAACACCCGUGGCGAAGGCGACUCUCUGGACCAAUACUGGCGCUGAGACGCGAAAGCGUGGGGAGCAAACAGGAUUAGAUACCCUGGUAGUCCACGCCGUAAACGAUGAGAACUAGGUGUAGCGGGUAUUGACCCCUGCUGUGCCGAAGUUAACGCAUUAAGUUCUCCGCCUGGGGAGUACGGCCGCAAGGCUAAAACUCAAAGGAAUUGACGGGGACCCGCACAAGCGGUGGAGCAUGUGGUUUAAUUCGACGCAACGCGAAGAACCUUACCUGGAUUUGACAUCCUCUGCUAACCCCGGAAACGGGGUCUUUCCGACUUGUCGGAACAGAGUGACAGGUGCUGCAUGCUGUCGUCAGCUCGUGUCGUGAGAUGUUGGGUUAAGUCCCGCAACGAGCGCAACCCUUGUUUUUAGUUGCCAGUAUUAAGUUAGGCACUCUAAAGAUACUGCCUCGGUUAACGGGGAGGAAGGUGGGGAUGACGUCAAGUCCUCAUGGCCUUUAUAUCCAGGGCUACACACGUGCUACAAUGGGCUGUACAAAGGGUUGCAACACCGCGAGGUGAAGCUAAUCUCAAAAAGCAGUUCUCAGUUCGGAUUGAAGUCUGCAACUCGACUUCAUGAAGGUGGAAUCGCUAGUAAUCGUGGAUCAGCAUGCCACGGUGAAUACGUUCCCGGGUCUUGUACACACCGCCCGUCACACCACGAAAGUCGGCUGUACCAGAAGUUGCUGGGCUAACCCUUCGGGGAGGCAGGUACCUAAGGUACGGUCGGUAAUUGGGGUGAAGUCGUAACAAGGUA